rnacentral:rRNA from 1 species
UACGAAGGGGGCUAGCGUUGCUCGGAAUGACUGGGCGUAAAGGGCGCGUAGGCGGAUGGCACAGUCAGAUGUGAAAUUCCCGGGCUUAACCUGGGGGCUGCAUUUGAUACUUGUGAUCUAGAGUGAGGAAGAGGGUCGUGGAAUUCCCAGUGUAGAGGUGAAAUUCGUAGAUAUUGGGAAGAACACCGGUGGCGAAGGCGGCGACCUGGUCCUUGACUGACGCUGAGGCGCGAAAGCGUGGGGAGCAAACAGG